UACGUAGGGUGCAAGCGUUGUCCGGAAUUAUUGGGCGUAAAGAGCUUGUAGGCGGUUUGUCGCGUCCGCUGUGAAAUUUCGGGGCUCAACCCCGAACUUGCAGUGGGUACGGGCAGACUAGAGUGUGGUAGGGGAGACUGGAAUUCCUGGUGUAGCGGUGAAAUGCGCAGAUAUCAGGAGGAACACCGAUGGCGAAGGCAGGUCUCUGGGCCAUAACUGACGCUGAGAAGCGAAAGCAUGGGGAGCGAACAGG
rnacentral:rRNA from 1 species